rnacentral:rRNA from 1 species
AUCUGGGCGGCGGAAUUCAGGAUGGCUGGCGUGCUCUCGCGGUGCCUCUUUCGUUUGAUAUUUCCGUCGCCAACUCACGCAGACGUCGCGACCUGAUUCGCGGUCGGUCCCUGCUCGGAGGAGCCGCGUUCGAGCUCGUUGUGUGCGCGUUUCGGCGUGUCACACGGCGAAGGCGCGGAUCUCUGGCUGGCCGUCGGACAGUAUGCUUAACGGUGUCCGGUGUCGUCGUCUCGUACGCGCGGCAUCGGUACCGGUCAGCGACGAAUUCUUCGGGCCUCUUUCCGACCCGUCUUGAAACACGGACCAAGGAGUCUAACAUGCGCGCGAGUCGCGGGGUAUCGAGCGUACUUCGGUGCGUUCGUUAUGUUGCGAAACCCGUACAUGUCGAAGGCGUAAUGAAAGUGAAUGGGGAAGAUGGUGUUCCGAGUUCACGUUCCGCGAUCAUCGGUAUCGCGGCCGGACGCCCGCAUUCCCGGGGCGUCUCAACGGCCCGUCGCUGAUGCGGACAGUCGUCUCUCGGGGCGGCUGUCGGUCGGCGACGAACCGA